AUGUGGAGCAGCAUAUCAACUACGGAGACGGUGCAGAGUGAUGGCGAUGUCUUCGAGGUACCAUCGAUGGUGAUGCAGACAGCAGUCACGCCGCUAAAUGCCGCCAUGAACCUCGAGAUCAUUUGGAGCCCCAACCCUCAGCCCCCGAACCAGUCCCUAGGAUAUCUCAUCAUCAUGCAUUUCUCCGAGCCGCAAUUCCUUCCUAGCAACGCCGAGCGCCAGUUCUACAUCAGCAUUAACGACAUGCAGUUACCCGAACCUGUUAGCCCACACUACCUUGGCACGGGCUUCGUGUCCAAUGGAAAUGCACGUUACCGAGACAACAAGUACAACAUCUCCAUGUACGCCACCGCCAACUCGACGCUACCACCUGUAAUCAGUGCCGUCGAGUUUUUCUUCGUCAUCUCCGCCACCAACAUUGCCACUGACUCCCAGGAUGUAUCUGCCAUCAUGGCGAUCAAAGCGAAUUAUGAGGUGCAGAAGAAUUGGAUGGGUGACCCAUGUGUUCCAAAGACUAUGGUCUGGGAAAGGCUGACAUGCAGCUACACCAGUGACAACUCUCCAAGGAUCAUAAGCAUAAAUCUUUCCUCUAGUGGCCUCAAUGGUGAUAUAUCCUCUUCUUUCACGAAUUUCAAGGCCGUCCAGUACUUGGAUUUGUCAAACAAUAACUUGACAGGCUCAAUACCAGGCGCCCUUUCGCAAUUGACAUCAUUGACAAUUUUAGAUUUGUCAGGCAACCACCUCAAUGGAUCAAUCUCACCUGAGCUCCGCAAAAGGACUCAAGAUGGCAGCCUGAAUCUAAGACAUGGCAACAACCCAGACAUUUGCACUGACGGCAAUUCAUGCCAGCCUACUAAAACGAAGAACAAGUUGGCCAUCUACGGUGUUGUCCUUAUAGCUGUCAUUGUGGUGCUGGUAUUAGUGGCAGUAGCGCUCUUUUUCUUUCUAAGACAAAGAAAUCCAGGUGAGGAUUUAGAAUCAGCACGUCAACUAUCUGAUAUGCUUCCCCAUCCUUGA
rnacentral:rRNA from 1 species